UUGCACGCUGGCGGCAUGCUUUACACAUGCAAGUCGCACGGUAACAGGCCGCAAGGUGCUGACGAGUGGCGAACGGGUGAGUAAUGCAUCGGAACGUGCCCAGUCGUGGGGGAUAACUACUCGAAAGAGUAGCUAAUACCGCAUACGAUCUAUGGAUGAAAGCGGGGGACCGUAAGGCCUCGCGCGAUUGGAGCGGCCGAUGUCAGAUUAGGUAGUUGGUGGGGUAAAGGCUCACCAAGCCAACGAUCUGUAGCUGGUCUGAGAGGACGACCAGCCACACUGGGACUGAGACACGGCCCAGACUCCUACGGGAGGCAGCAGUGGGGAAUUUUGGACAAUGGGCGCAAGCCUGAUCCAGCAAUGCCGCGUGCAGGAAGAAGGCCUUCGGGUUGUAAACUGCUUUUGUACGGAACGAAACGGCUCUGGUUAAUACCCGGGGCUAAUGACGGUACCGUAAGAAUAAGCACCGGCCAACUACGUG
rnacentral:rRNA from 1 species